CGUCUCACAACCCUAUGGCCCUCCAUGGCCUAUUACAGGGUUAGCUUUACCCUUUUUUUAAAGAAAUUAAUUAUGCUCGGUGAAGCUUGAUGCUGGCUGUUAUUAAGAUUACAGUCUUCUAGGUUGUGAUGUGUAGUUUUGUAGCUGGGUUCCACUGUUUUGGAGCAACCUGCUGUCUCCAUCUUAAGGGUAGGACACUCUUCUGACCUGAGGAUGGAGGCAGUAGAUUGUUGCAUCCACCAAACUAUAACCAUAUACAGCUUUGAGAUGCUCAAAACUCAAAUGGCUACUGUCAACUCUAAUUCAGUAAGAAGAGCCUUAUGGGUAAUGUGCCUGUUGGUGAAAUUUCAAAAUUUAGCAGCCGAUUGGCUGUACCACUGUCACCUCUUAAGAUGUCUGAGAGGAUCUGAAGUCCCUCAUCUGUUCAGUCAAGAUGUCUAUGCAAAUAUAGGGACCAUAACUUUAAUGUAGGGUGAGCGUAGAGGGGAUUCCAAUGUUUGAUAUGGCUUGGAAUUUGAUUUCAGUAUUUGUUUCUGUUUGUGUUUACUGAUGAUCCUGUUUAAGCGUGCCUGUCUUGUAAUGAAGUAUUAUUUUAUUUGCAGAAUAAGUUAGGUUCUUCUGCAUCUUAUGUUUGGUGUUUUUUGGUAUUGUGUGCUUUCGUUACAGUCUGUGAGGAAUUGUUGCAGUCCUUAUGUGUAUAUCUGUUGAAGCUGUGAUGUGAUGCUGUGUAGUCUCAUAGAUAAUUACUGAUAUUGUGGAGGAACCUGCUGCCUCCAUCUUCAGGGAUUUUGAAGGAGGAGACAGAAGGUGACAUCACAUCUCAGAAUUCAGCAUUCAGUCAUUGCUUUGAGAACCCAAAAUCUCACAAGCUUAUCUCUUCUUUGUUUAAACUGGCCCUUUUUUCAGUCAUAGUAGUUAAAAUUGCUUGUGAUGGAAUCUUGCUUCAUACCAGAUGUUUUAAAGACACUUUGCUUUAAUGGCUAACUGCUUGCUGCAAAGGUGGCCAAACUGAAAAACAGUUUAGGAGGCAGUUGAACAUUUUAUUGGCCAGGCAUAAAGUGAUUACCAGAGUACACUACACUUGCCAGUGCAAGCAGGGCCAUAACCAUCUUGAUGGCGAAGAAUGAGAAUGAGUUCUUGUGUCGAUCAGUCAGCGUGAAAGAUCAGUUUUGCAAAAUCAAUGCCUUAACAAACAGUCUUCUGCGAUAUGAUGGCACAUAGUCUGAUGAUGAACUUCUUCCAGAGUAUGCAGCAUCACAUCCCUGAAGAUAGAAUGCCAUUUCUGAUCGCUGCCACAAGAACCUGGCAUUACACAGGUGCUUGAUGUUGGACUGAAAGGAGGUAUGGGGAAAUAGGAAAGUAGGAUAACAGAGGAGAUAAGACUGUGUUGCUUGAAUUUUGUUUAUCAAGAAGGGGGAAAUGAGAGGUGAUUGUUUCAGUUUUUUGUUUAAAAUAAUACAAAACUUUGUCAGUGUUUUUCAAGUUAUUGUCAUCUGAUUUGCAGUUGUUUGGGAAAUGAUGGGGCUCUUUUGAUGCUCCACUUUGUGAGUGGAAUGCCAUUUAAGGGAUAUAUGAACCAUGACAAUUGAGACUUAUAAAGUUCUCAGCUGUUUGUAACAUUGAGAAUAAACCAUGAAACUAGUCCCAAGAAACUGACAUCACUGUAUUGUAGCAGUCUAAUUGUAAUUUGUAAAUCGUGUGAUAAAGAUUUCAUGCGUG